rnacentral:rRNA from 1 species
AACUUUCAACAACGGAUCUCUUGGCUCUGGCAUCGAUGAAGAACGCAGCGAAAUGCGAUAAGUAAUGUGAAUUGCAGAAUUCAGUGAAUCAUCGAAUCUUUGAACGCACAUUGCGCCCGUUAGUAUUCUAGCGGGCAUGCCUGUUCGAGCGUCAUUU